CCGGUUCCGGUUCACGUCCGCUUCGUGCUCAUUAGGGCGACCCGGCGACC
rnacentral:ncRNA from 1 species